rnacentral:rRNA from 1 species
GACGAACGCUGGCGGCGUGCUUAACACAUGCAAGUCGAACGGAAAGGCCCUGCUUUUGUGGGGUGCUCGAGUGGCGAACGGGUGAGUAACACGUGAGUAACCUGCCCUUGACUUUGGGAUAACUUCAGGAAACUGGGGCUAAUCCCGGAUAGGAGCCCCUGCUGCAUGGUGGGGGUUGGAAAGUUUCGGCGGUUGGGGCUGGACUGGCGGCUUAUCAGCUUGUUGGUGGGGUAGUGGCUUACCAAGGCUUUGACGGGUAGCCGGCCUGAGAGGGUGACCGGCCACAUUGGGACUGAGAUACGGCCCAGACUCCUACGGGAGGCAGCAGUGGGGAAUAUUGCACAAUGGGCGGAAGCCUGAUGCAGCAACGCCGCGUGCGGGAUGACGGCCUUCGGGUUGUAAACCGCUUUCGCCUGUGACGAAGCGUGAGUGACGGUAAUGGGUAAAGAAGCACCGGCUAACUACGUG